rnacentral:rRNA from 1 species
GUACACGCUGUGACUAGCAUAUCAAUAAGCGGAGGAAAAGAAACUAACAAGGAUUCCCCUAGUAACGGCGAGUGAAGCGGGAAGAGUUCAAAUUUGAAAUCUUAAAGGGUUUCCCUUUACGAAUUGUAGUUUAAAGAAGUGUUUUCUGUUGAGGUUUUGGUAAAAGUUCUUUGGAAUAGGACAUCAUAGAGGGUGAGAAUCCCGUAUUUGACCUUUACUUUCAACUUUGUGAUACACUUUCAAAGAGUCGGAUUGUUUGGGAAUGCAGUCCAAAAUGGGUGGUAAAUUUCAUCUAAAGCUAAAUAUUGGCGAGAGACCGAUAGCGAACAAGUACCGUGAGGGAAAGAUGAAAAGAACUUUGAAAAGAGAGUUAAACAGUACGUGAAAUUGUCAAAAGGGAAGCGUUUGACACCAGUGUUGUUUUUCUGAAAAUCAAUUAAAGAACUGUUUAUGCUAAGUUGUUUAGACUUUAUCAGCUAACUGUUUAGUUUUGAGCUUUUCUUUAAUGCACUUUUCAGUUAACUAAGUCAACAUCAAUUUCUUUUGCUGUAAAAAAGCUUGAGGAAGGUGGCUUGAGAUUCGUCUUAAGUGUUUAUAGCCUCUUGCCUAUGCAGUCGGAGAGAUUGAGGUCUGCAGCGUAGAUCCUUCGGGGCUAAAUGCAUUUGUGCUAAGUUAUAGCAUUUUAUAGACAACUUGUUGACUAUGAUUUGUCUUGUAGCGUACUCGCUUAUGUUAUUUUACCUACGCUUAGGAUGUUGAGCGCAUGUCUCUCUCU